GGAAGCCUUUAGAUUUGACCCAGAAUUUGAAUUUGGCAUUAUCCGUGGAGCUCGACUCGGAGCCGUUCAGGAGCUGGACGAUCCGGUCGUAUUUUUUACGGGUCACCGUCUUGGUUUUUCCUGAGUCCCCGAGGCAAAACGGAUCUGGUGGAGGUUCCUCUUAUCCUUCCACUGUACGUGAUCAGUCUCUUUAAUAAUUGUGCAAGGCAGGACUAUCCCACUGGCUCCAGCAGCAGCGCCUUACCCACAGAGGGUUCGGUUGGAUAAAUAAUUAAAAUCCCAUCCCUCGGCUUAGUGAAGGAAAAAGAAAAUAUUGACUCGGAUCCUUCUUCUUUUCCAUACAUCAACUGCACCCGGAUUCACCCUGAAUAGUGCAGGUGAAGAGGAGGAAAAAAAAAAAAAAAAAAAAAAAAAAAAGAA